CAUCACAGGCAGACGAGUUAGCACGUGGCUCUGAGAGCUCGUCUUGGAGGUUGACAUAGACCAAAGCGUAUAUAUAAUUUGACAUAGACUAUUUGGUUCCUAGACCUUGGUUUAAAUUUCAGGUACAGACAACGCGAUCAGACGGUUAUGUCGGCAUGUCACCUUACAGGCCUGUAUGCAUUCAACUGUUACAUUCAUUGGUAAUGAUUAAGCUUCUGCAUCACAUCAUUCUGUCAUAGUUCAGUAGUCGCACAAUAAUCCUGUAAUCCAGUGCUCAUGAAGUGAAAUCUAAACUUUACAGCUAUGGAUAGGUAUCAUAUGUGUCGUCGGGUGUCAUGAAGAGUUGUUCUUUAUAUUGGGCAAUGAAACCACAACUGCAGCGAAGUAUGAAAGUAAAAUAGAAGAACUUUCAAUCAAAAGCCCGCUAGAUUAUAUCAAUUUUAUGCGGAUAAAGCAAGUUAGCAACAAAAAAAAACUUCGGAAAGGAGAAAUUACUAAAAUAGCAUACAAAGAGGAAAUGAGCGUGGUGAUGCUGUCUUGGUUGCAAUCAACAUCAAUGGGAUAUUGAGAGCACACACGUGGAUGAAAAGAAAUCUCGUCAAUCAAUCAAUUUUAUUUUGAUCACUCUGAAAGAAACAAAACCACAACAAACGGACAAACAAAAUGCACAGGACCUGAAGGUAGGGCAUAACUCAAUAAAACCAUCCACCAAUAAUAGUCAAAAGAACACAAUAAUAUAAAGAUACGAUGUAAAAUUGGGCAAUACCUAUUAAAUCAAUUUUAAAAUGUAAUAGGCAUUCAACUUCCCAUUUGCAAAAAUGUACCGGUAAUGCUUGAGGGAUUGCUAAUUGCAUUCUUGUGUCGCUGUUUUUGAGAAUGAUAUAUAAAAUGCUAACCUCCAGUCAAAUGCUAUGCUGUAAAGUGUAACUGAAAAAAUACAAUCAAAAGGACAUUUCUAGAAGUGAGUGCAUGGCUAUGGUAUGUGUAUCACAACAGUGCUUUUCCUACAUAAAUAUGGAAUAAAAAACACUCGUUGGCCUAUAAUGGGGAUGCUGUAGUUCAAUUUCAUUGCGAAAAUAACAGUGACAAAAAAUUGUUACUGAAAAAAUUGUCACUAAAAAAACAAGCUCGGUAAAUAGAUUGAAUGUUUUAUAACAGUCUAUGGACAAUCAUGGAUUGGGGUCAUGGUCGGGUUCUUUUGUAGUUUUCGAUUAGUUCAUUUUAAAAUCAUUGUAAUCGUUCCAAUGUUUCCAACAUUAAUAUCGAAUUUCAACAGGUGCAGUGGUCCCGUCUUUUCUGCGCUCUGUUCCAUCAUCCUCGCAGAUGACCGUAUAUGGUUGUAUCGUUAUCACCCAGUCAUCUACCGAAAACUGCAUUAUGUAUUGUUUUAUUAUUUAUUUGUUAUUGUAUAAUUAUUAUGUUUUCUGGUUUAACGAAAAAAAUAAAUUAUCUCUCUCCACAACUAGAUUCAUAAAGGGAUCGAAACCUCUCAACACCCGUAACAGAUCGUUCACCUUUUAACUUUAAAUACAAUCUUUUAUCCAUAAACUUCUUUAAUUCCGGUGGAUGGGCUUUAAUCAUGCUGAUAUCACGCGAUACAAAUCCAACAGUAAAACCAAAACACACAGCGCGUAGUAUUCUUAGUCAAACAGCCACUAACCAAGUUGUCUUCGGCGCUAACCAGAUUUGGUUUCCCACAGCUUCCCUUCCAAAGUAAAAAUGUAUGAUUACCUCUUUGUGAAUAUUGUUUGUGUUUGUUUUUUACUGGUUGAAUAAAAUAAACUUGACUAUUUCACAGUCACCAACAUGUCAAUUCCGCACCGCUUCAUUCAGUAAAAAAAGCUCUUAUGGUUCAAGAAUUGGGAAAUUGCAAUCGUCAAGCUUUUGAGUAGAAAUGAACGUCUCUCAGAUCUAGUUUUUACAAGUGUAUCUGCUAUAUGCCUUUUUUUCAUUCUGUAUAACUUUGUUUGACCUUGACUGUUGCCUCUUUGGCCUGGCCAUAAAACAACAUUAGAACUGUUUGUUUUUAUUUUUUAACUUUCAAAGUUCUCAAUCUAUCAU